AACCAGGACGCUUCGCCCUGAUUGGAUGCAGCAGCAUCCUAUGUUUUCAGGCCUCCAGCAAAUGCUAUUUUAAACCAUACUUCCGUGGGAGCAUUGGAUUAACAAGACCGUCUUACGAAAGGCGUAAGUCAGUAUUAAGAUACUUUGCUGUCCCUUCAGUGAAGGUAUCCAAUAAAUAUAUCGGUAGCGGCAGCUGAAAAGCCGUUAGUUGGUGCCAAAUGGCAAGUCCGCUGCUCCUGUUGGGGGUUUCCUUACUGCUAACAGGCUGACAAGCUAAUAGUUUGUCUUGCAUAAGCGAAGACAAGCGGUCAGAAACGUUCUGUUGCACAGAGAUGCACGUCUGGACGCAGCUUCUAAUUGUUAGUUGCUUUGUAUGGGAUGGAUCACAGCAACCCAGAGAUACCGAAAAGUCCAGGUGGAGAACCAGAUCUAGCCGCAGACUGGGAAAAUUCAGAGUCCUUCUGUCCUGAAAAGGAGCAGAAGAGAUGCAGUUCUUGGACGGAGACAGAGGAUGUAAGCAUAAAUGGUUACUUGUCACAGAGCUCCAUCUCCCGUUCCUUGCAGCGAGCUGAGGUUUUGCUGAAGAACACCUUUAAUCCCGGUUUGAAAUGGCUGUUUCAUGGUCACAGUGAAGAUGAGGAAGAGGAAAAUUUUGUUGUCGCUUACAACCUGGUAUCCCGUUCCUCUGCACGUCUCCUGCGUCUUCAACAAGCUCUUCUUACCAUGUCACCCCAAUGGCAGCUAGUGGGUGGAGCACAGAUGGCGUCUCCCCAGGCCUGUGUUAAAGGCCUUCCAGGUGAAGGUGGUGUUCUCUUCCUUCCCUCUUCCUGCUGCCUGCAGGGACAAUACAGAGCUCUGUGGACGCUCCUGAAUCAGCGAUCCUCACUGGUCUUCAUACAUGAGUACAGCAGAAGGGCUCGCCUAGCAGCAGCAUACAUAGCCAGAGUGAGACAUCUGUUGGAGCAUCAGCUGAAGAACUCACACCUGACACCAAACCAGAAAUUAACAAAGAGUAUUACUCAAAAAAAGAGCCCAUCCAACUGCUCUCCAGUUAGAGUCGGUCUUGGUUUACUGAGUCAGGAACUCCGGGUCCAUCUCAACCACUGGUCUUGUCUGUGCUCCAAAGUCCAGUCUGACCACUAUCUGAGACACACUCUUCUUCAGCAGACCAAUUUGCUGUUGGAAAUCAAACAGAAUUUGGACUUACUUGGUCUGCAGGCACUAAUUUUGAUGGAACAUUAUGUGUAUUCCAUUCUGUCCACUGUAGCACAGCCUGAAUUAGACUCUGUACCAAGAGAAGUCCUGGAAGACAUUUUAGUAGGUGCACACCUGUAUAACCAGGCGGUGGAGGAGCAAAGAGUGCAGUACAGUGCUCACCAGCUGAGGACUACAUUAUUACAGAAAGCACAUUAUUCUACACUGGAUACUGGUCUUCCACAGAUUAAAAGGUAUCAUCCUUCUGCGUUCUCAGUUAAAGAGAUAAUGUUCAUUUUAGCAGUGCAUCAUGCAGAAGUGACAGCUAAGCAGCUGCAGUACUGGGCAUUUGAGCAGAGCGAUCACAUCUGUCAAGUCCACACCAACCAUAAAGUGUGCACUUGUUCUGAUAACUGCAUUAGUCAGAUGCCUAGCCUCAGCUGUGGGAUGUCUGCAUUGAAAUCUGAGUGGACCUGGGAGCAGCUGCAGCAUGCUUACCAAAUUUCCUCUCCUCACUUCUGCAUUAAUCAUUCUACUUUGCAGUUAUCUUUUUGCCACUCCUGCAAUAGAACUUCACCUGUUUAUGUCCCUGACCUUCAUUUGGACAGUACUUUCUUGGAAAACUGUCAUCCUGUUUUAGCCGAGCCCAUUUCUGUCCAACACAGAAAGGAGGGCCCCAAAAAAGACCAAACUGGGCACAACCAAACAUACAUAUCCCAGUCUGAUCUCACACAGAGCAAUGUGGAAGAUUUGGAUUCAGUGCAAUCGAUUCGGGAAAGAAAAACACAGUUUGAAAACUGUAUGCUACUGCAGACAACCUCACCCACUUCAACCACCUUCCAUCAUCUCACAGCACUGCCUCUGUCAAGGGUCCAAUUGGACCAUUCCUCAGUACAGCUACUUUUUCAAGUGUUCUGCUCCUCCUCCAAUGACCUGCUAACUCAAGUGGCCUCACAAACACCUACAUCAGAAGGACCAACUGACCAGCUACUCCCAACUACAAUACCUGAUAUGUUAAAUGGGAAGGCAGACUCAAGGAUUUUAUGUGAUGCAGUCAGAAAUACAACUGAUCCAGUAAAUCAAAACAAGGACCAAAAUGUGGAAGAACCUCAGCAAAAGUGGGGCGAUCAGGAGAUAACAACUCGGCCAAAUGCCACUGAAAGGUAAGAUCAAGAUUACCAGCCACUCUUCUUCUUCGUUUGGAGAAAGAUCUUGCGGUAACUGGACCCAGUCGAACUGACUAUGUCUAGGCUAAAGAUGACAACCAGGAGAGGCUUUCGGGGUGGUAAAAGGAUAGACCCUCAGCCCCGAAAGCAAAGAGGUGAUAAACCAAAGGAUGCUGCUUGUGGGCCAUCACUGCCCACAACUUUACAGCUUAAUGUCGAGGGCCUUCACGCAAGCAAGAUCUGCGUGAUAAGCCACCUGGCUACAAGACACAAAGCUCUCGUAAUCCUGCUUCAGGAGACCCACUGCACCAAUGCAGACCAGCUCGUCAUUCCACAUUUCACACUAGCUGGAGCGGUUCUCAGCAGGAAGCAUGGCCUUGCUACUUUUGUCCAUGAAAAGAUGAAAUGGACCCCUGUUGACCAGUCUUGUGCUGGUUCAGCAAUUGAGUGGCUCUCUGUAGACAUCGACGGUGUCAAGAUUGUCAAUGUUUACAAGCCACCACCCUCGCAACUGAUACCAUCAGCCAUCCUGGUGCUUCCACACCCCAGCCUCUAUGCUGGUGACUUCAAUUGCCAGCAUUCCAAAUGGGGUUACAACUAUAUCAGCCCAGAUGGAGAAUACUUGGUUGACUGGGCAACCAAGAGCGACCUUGUACUCCUGCACAAUCCAAAGGAUGCUCCUAGCUUCUUCUCUGGUCGCUGGAACACCGGAACCAAUCCAGACUUGGCGUUCGCGAGCACUGGUCCAAACAGCUGGCACCUGGACAGGCGUGUCUUAGAAAAGUUUCCGAGGUCCCAACACUGACCCUCGCUUAUCACGGCCACAAGAACGGUGGUCCCAUGGCCACACUCUGCACAGCCACCCUAGCUCUGGUCCAUUCUGCCACUGAGUACUGCACACCAGCUUGGUGUCGCAGUGCUCACACUCGUCUCGUAGAUAAGCCGAUCAACGAUACUUUGCGUUUAGUGACUGGAUGCCUUCGUCCCACACCAAUGGUCGACUUAUAUAUACUGUCCGGCAUCCAACCAUCUGAGCUUCGCCGCAAGAGAGCCACAUUGUCUCUGGCUUGCCGAGCGUUGGAACCUGGUCAUCUUUUGCACGACCGUCUCCAUUCUCCUACACCUAGAGGACUUCGGCAGCUUAAGUCCAGACACCCAUUUGUCCCUGCUGCACUGGAACUGCUGAAUGAUGCAAAUCAGUCAGGCAGUAACGCAGCAAGCUGGGCGGACGGCAAAUGGAACACGAAAUGGAAAGAAAGUUCUUCCAGACUUUGUGGAUUCAUUGCAGAGGCCAGCACAUCACCACCUGGAAUAUCUUUUCCUAGACCUGCCUGGGUUAGGCUUAACUGCCUUCGAACUGGUGUUGGCCUUUUCCGCUCAACUAUGCAUAAAUGGGGUAUGGCCUCCUCUGCGGCAUGUGAGUGUGGUGCAGAGGAGCAGACUGCAGACCAUGUGAUAACAUCUUGCCCCAUAUACCGCCAUCCAAAAGGGGUUUAUGGUCUGAUUAGUGCAGAUGAGACCUUAGUCAGUUGGCUGACUAACAUCUGCCCAGAGAUAUAACGGUUUACACCUUCUGCUGCAAGAUCUUUCUCCAAACGAAGAAGAAGACCAGCCACUGAUUACACAGGGGAACACUUUUUCAGUAACUUUGAGCUGUAUUGGAUAUUUUAACUGAUUCUGAAGGAGUUUUAGGCACUGAUUUCAAAUCUGAAAUUAGUUUUUCUCUAAAAGCUCUAGUUUGUAUGAAAUUUGAGGUUAAUUCAAUUGUACAAAUGUGAACUUGCGUAAACCUCUUCCCCAGGCUGAACUGAAUGAUUUAGUGCAGGAUUUAGGUCUUUCAAAGAAAGCAGCAGAGCUUUUGGCAUCAAGAUUACAAGGCAGAAAUCUUGUUGAUCACUCUGUUUAAGUAUCAUAUUUCAGAAAGCGUGACCAGCUUUUUUGUGACCUUCUUUUCAGAAGACAGUUUGUUUACUGCAAUGACAUCCCAGGGCUUCUCAAAGAACUUACUAUAGUCCUGCUGAAUGGAGACUCUUUUUAGACAGUUCAAAACACAGUCUAAGGUGUGUUCUUUUACAUUAAAAAAUAAAUAAAAAUGUCAUUGCAUAAAAUCUGUAGCUUGCAGACAAAAACCGACUUCAGAUUUGAAAUCAGCAAACUCAAAUUGACUAUAGAAAAGUCUUUUUUUAAAUGCAACAAAAUGAGUGUUCCCCAGUGUUAUUGUUAAUGAUUUUCUAUUAUUAUCUCUGUAUAUUCUGUGUGUUUAAUAUGCUGCUGGUUUCUUGAAUUUCCCUCGGGAACAAUAAAGUUCCUACCUAAUCUACUGUUUAGGCCUUAAAAUGUUUUAAACAACUUGCUUGUUGAAAUCUUUAAAGUGGUCUGACAAUGGAAUAAAACAAAUUAGUAACUUUCUGAAACAGAUACUCAUGGAUAAAAAUGUCUGUUUUUACAGAUAUGGAGUGUGGUAUAAACAGAACACUGUCCCUUUUUAUAUGUUUCCUGCCCCUUAAAGUAAGAUAGAAUAGAAUAGAAUGCCUUUAUUGUCAUUACACAGUGCAUAAUGAUAUAGAGAGAUGCCCCUUGAAAAUGCAAAUCCAUAAAUAGUACACAAUAGAGUCCACAUUCAUUCAAACAACAUACAUCCUUUCGAUAUCAGUACUGCGCCAGUACUUUGCCCCAGUAAAUUGCAUAUUACACCAGUAUAUUGCACUACAGUGUGUUGAAUUUUGAGGUCAAUGCUUGUGAGAGUCAGUGUUGGGAAGAAACUGUUCUUGAGUCUGUUGGUUCUAGAUUUGAUGCACCUGUAGCGCCUCGAACAAGUUCAACAGUGGGAAACCAUUGUUUGAAUUGUUCUUGAUGAUGUUUUGUGCUCUGCUGAGGCAGCAGGAGGUAUAGAUGUCCAUCAGGGUGGGGAGAGGGCAACAGUCAAUCUUCUGAGCUGUUUUAAUUACCCUCUGAAGCCCCUUUCUGUCUGCCUCCAUGCAGCUGCCGUACCAUACUGUUAUGCUGUAUGUCAGCAGGUUCUCGAGUGACGAGUGGUAGAAGGUCAGCAGCAGUUUGGUGUCCAGGGGUUUCUUACUCAGAAUCCUCAGGAAAUGUAGUAGCUGUUGGGCCUUCUUGGUGACCGCUGAGAUGUUGUUUGUCCAGGAGAGGUCGCAGAGAUGAGGACACAGAAGGCAACAAACUUGAAGGCAUAUUUCAUAGACUGCGAGUACAGCAAAGAAUAGGGAAGCCUAUAGAAUGAUGAUGAUUAUCAUGACAACAGUGAUGAUGAACAAUAGAGACAAAGGAGUUGAGGAUGAUUAUGGUCAUGCAGUCAUGGAUGGAAUGGUCCGCAUGGAAAUGCAGUCAAAUCUGAAUGCAAAGUCAUGAUAAUAAGGGCUAGAAUGAAGAUGGACGUCGGCUUGAUGAGUGAGCUGUGGAAGAGAUGUCCACAUGGUACUUGGCCACCAUCUGGCUCACAAAAGCACCUGAAGAUUCCAAAACAAUGACAUUGAUGGAGACUUGUCUCCUUUUCUAGGAUGCUGAUUUUGUUUUUCAGGGAUCAACGGUCAUGGGGUACAUGUGGUACCCCUGGGCAAGAUUGUGCUGGUCUGGUGAAGACGACCUUGAUCUCAGAUGAAUUGCACAUCAUAUGUCUGUUCUUGUGUUAAAAACAUAUUAAUGUUAGAUUAAUGACAUGGUAAUACUAGUCCUGCAUCCAUUAAGAAGUAUGGAGACUCAGAAUAAUAUUCUUCUUGCUGGAGAUAUUUUGAAACAUAGACUUUCAUGAGGUAUAAGCUUCACAGUUGUAAGCGUCAUUUGUUUUCCUCUUCAGACCUAAACAAUAGGCCAAUGCACAUGUUAAAAUAUGUGAAAAUGUUUUUCAAAAUGUAAAAAGAAAUAGUUUUUCAUGGAUUUACCAUAAAACACAAUUUAGUUAUUUUUACAUUAGGUUCAUAGAGCUUUAUGUUGAAUGCUCAGUAGUUUGAAUAUUAUCUCUGUUAUUUAUAGUUUUGUCAUCACAGAAUGAACACUAAGAAACUAUAUUUGUCUUUCAGCUCAGGCUUCCAGAGGAAUGGAGACUCAGAGAAAGAGGAUUUUACAGGAGCAGAGGGAACAACAGUGAACUCAGAAUGUGUUCAGUGGCCUCACUCGGUACAGUGGUCAGACCUUGGUCAAUCACUGGUGUUUGCUGAUCUUCUUGAACAGUAUCACACACUGCUUUGGACUCUAUGCAGCAAAGCCCUGUGGCUACAACUACAUGUUUCACAUGAAAGUAGCACUGCAGAAAGCAUCAACCUUCUAGACAACCACAUGAGCUUACAGAUUUUCCACAGGAUUGGUCAAGCUUUAGCGUCAGGUCUGGUUCCAAAGGAGUGCAAAACCAUGCUGGAGGACAUCAGUCUUUAUCUGUUGAUCAUUACAGCACAUGCACACUGGGACUAUGUUCUGUGCAGAAGUUUAGGUUCUUCUAUGAAAGAUCAGUGUUUUCCAAGCCAACGGACCAACUUUGUGGUGCCAACUUCUAAGCAAGAUGGAAGUGUGAUGAAUUCCCUGACCAUGGAGCACUUCCUACUGCUACCUCCACCUCUCCUGUCGUCUCUGUGCUGCCAUCACGUAAACAGCGGGGCCUUAGGUCCUCUUAGCCUCUUCCCCUCCAGGUUCAGUCUUCGGAGACAGACUGUUAGCUUGGUGCUAGCCUCAGUACAGCUGUCUACAGUCUGGGUCAUGUCCAAGGCUUACCAGUUCCUCUCUUCAUGGAGCCUCAACAAGUUCCUGCUUAUCACACAAGGGGACUUAAAUAUGGUGAGGGAGUCACUGGAGAUGAUGGUGCAGCAGACGAAAUGCCUGGUGAUGAAUUCAGGCAGUCACCACCGUUCCACAUUCUGUAACCAUAACGAGCUUCUGCUGGGGCAGCAAACUGAAGCACUUGACACGGCUGUAUCCCAGCUGCAGACCUUCUCUUCUCUGGUACUGAAGACCUUCUCCAGUGAUUGCAAGCGGAUGUCAGGGGAGAUCUUUGAACGGACCAUGCCUUCUGCUGUACACUGGAGACCCAGCAACAGGGCAGAUUUUCCCAGCAGUCCCAGUGAGUAUGCAUCUCUGGCAGCUCAGACUGUGAUUGGUCAAGUUCUAGAAGGUGUAGCACCACUGUCUGAUGAUGCCCGAGUCCAAGCACUCAGUAUAACAAUGACAGCUUUCAUGGAGGCUUGGAUGGAACACAUCUUGAAACAGAAGAUCAAGUUCAGCAUACAUGGAGCUCUCCAGCUGAAGCAGGACUUUGAUUCUAUCAGAGAUAUGAUCCAGUCAGACAGAUACGGACUGUCCAGUGAACUCCACCAACGACUGCUCAGUCUCCGGGUUUUUCAGCAAGUGGACUCAGCAGUGGUGUGUCUGCUUCAGCAGCCACAGGCUAAACUCUACCUACAGCCCAGCGCCUGGGAGCCUUUCAAACGCUGCUGUCCGGCCAACAGCAGCAGGGAAAGCAUUGAUGCUUCAGUGUCAAGCAGUAUAACCAACCUGAGAUGUAAGGAGAGUGAGGAUGCGACUCAUUCUGAACCCUCAGUUGUGACCACUCACCUCCCUGCUGUGGACCCAUCCUCCCCCACAGAGCCCUACCUUGCUCCAAGUCUAGCGCUGGGUGCUGCUCAGCAGGAAUGGCUGGACUUGAGGAUCCAGAGCAGUGCUCGUCGCUGGAGGCUGCCGGGACUGCAGUGUGUUUCUAAGUCUGAACCCUAAACACACUUACUUCAUAUGAAUCUUUCUACCUCUUUAAUUUAGUAUCAUGCCAAUAUGAAACAUGAAAGUAUUUUAUUGUUACUUUUGUGUGAUAACAGUGAAGGUUACAUUUGAAUAUUGUCAAUUAUUUAUUACUUAAUGUAAACUAUUUGUAUUAUAAAAAAGAUUUGUUUUACUAUUUGUAGGCAAACAUAUUUUCAUAUUCCUGAAUCAGAUGUUUUUAUUAAUACAUUUAAUCAUCAUUUUGUGACUGCAUUUCUUAUGUGAACAUGGUGCAUUCCACACUUAUCUAUAUAACAAGGGACUAGACUGGAAUUUGUAUGUAAGUGGCAAACAUAAAAUGCACCACAAUACCAGUCUUGGAGCUCCUUAGCUCAUUUGACAGGAUUUAGAGGAAAUAAAGUCUACAUUUCAUGACCAAACUGCCAAGUUGUCUACAGACUGAACAGUACAAACAAACUCCCAAAAGUUCAGUGAGGUAGUAGAUGGUCCAGCAAGGUUCUCUCCAGACAAAAAACUGUGCCUAUGAUUGCGAGAUCACAUAACAAAAAAUAUGUGGCCACACUGACGUGAUAAAUUGCCAACAUCUGACUCCAAGUAAGAAAAUUAGGUGAAUAUCCGGGUUGUGUAACUCACUGGCAAUAGUGAAGUGCAAAAACCUGUCAUGGUCCCUCCCUUCUCUGUGCUGCGCUCCUGGCCAGCUGUCAGCUCUGGCUGUGGAGCACAGCCGCCCAGUCAACAAUCAGAGGCACCCUGUCACUCGCCGCUGGGUCAUUGUCUCUGUUGCUUCUGCUGGCGCGUCACCAGCCACUCUAUCGCGGUCUGCCCCAGCUUUGGAUUCCCCACCUGCUCUGUCCUGCCCGGCCUAGCUUUAGCCACUGCCCCGGUUCCUGCUGCGCCCCUGCAGCCGCCUGCCCUGUCACCAGAACUUCCCCCUCUGUCCUCGUCUCGGCUCCCCGUCGCUGCACUCCUGCAGCCGCCGAAUCCCCGCUGCUGGUUGUAGUCCCAGCCUAAUCUGCCCCCAAUUCACCAGCUGCAGAACCUAUCUGCCCCACUCCCUGCUUGGAGCUUUUUGUGAGUCAUGCUGUUUUGUGUUUAGUUUGAGCCCAUGUCGUGGCCAGUUCUGUUCUUUGCUCUUGUUUAGUUUGGAGCCCUGUUCAGUUUUAUUCGUCACUUCCUGUAUGGAGUUUUGGUUUGCUUUGUUUUUUUUGUUAAAAUUAAAAGUCAUUGUUUAAGUAUC